GUGUCUUACAAUAAUUGGGUACGC
rnacentral:siRNA from 1 species